rnacentral:rRNA from 1 species
AUUGAACGCUGGCGGCAGGCCUAACACAUGCAAGUCGAACGAGUGGCGGACGGGUGAGUAAUGUCUGGGAAACUGCCUGAUGGAGGGGGAUAACUACUGGAAACGGUAGCUAAUACCGCAUACCAUCGGAUGUGCCCAGAUGGGAUUAGCUAGUAGGUGGGGUAAAGGCUCACCUAGGCGACGAUCCCUAGCUGGUCUGAGAGGAUGACCAGCAAAACUGGAACGAGAAAACGGUCCGGACUCCUACGGGAGGCAGCGGUGGGGAAUAUUGCACAAGGGGCGCAAGCCUGAGGCAGCCUGGCGGGGUGUAUGAAGAGGGCCUUCGGGUUGUAAGGUACUUUCAGCGGGGAGGCGUAACCCGCAGAAGAAGCACCGGCUAACUCCGUGCAAGCAGCGGGGGUAUUU